AUAAUACUCCCUCCAUUCAACAAAAGAUGUCUUAAGUUUGUCAAAAGUUAGAUGUAUCUAGACAUCACUUAGUGUAUAAAUGCAUUUAAAUUUAGUCAAAGUUGAUACAUCUUUUAUUGGAUGGAGAAAUUAUGCA
rnacentral:pre_miRNA from 1 species